AAUCCGCGAUAAUUAAUAUGAAUUGCAGGUUUCUGUGAAUCAUCGAAACUUUGAACGCACUGCGCCCGCGGAUCACUGCGGGCACAUUCGGCUGAGUGACAUAUUUUUCAAUGGCACUUUCACACCCAAAGUGUCGGAAUGCGGCGGUUAAAUUUUUUUAUCCGCUAAGAUUUUUUCCAAGUCAUUUUUCAAGACUUAGAAUUUUUCUAAGUCAUUUUAAAAGACUUGGGAAUUUUUCGAAAAGCCGCCGACCAACCGUGAUUCAAUUCAUGUGCGGGCGGCGCUUUUCCAGUACCGUUCUGCAAUGGAACGAUUUUAAAAAAUGUCCUCAGCCGAGUGAGAUUACCCGCUGAACUUAA
rnacentral:misc_RNA from 1 species